rnacentral:rRNA from 1 species
CACGUAGGGGGCAAGCGUUGUCCGGAAUCAUUGGGCGUAAAGAGCUCGUAGGCGGCUCAGUAAGUCGGGUGUGAAACCUCCAGGCUCAACCUGGAGACGCCACCCGAUACUGCUGUGGCUAGAGUCCAGUAGGGGAGUGGUGGAAUUCCCGGUGUGAGCGGUGAAAUGCGCAGAUAUACGGGAGGAACACCAGCGGCGAAGGCGG